rnacentral:rRNA from 1 species
UACGUAGGGGGCUAGCGUUGUCCGGAUUUAUUGGGCGUAAAGAGCGUGUAGGCGGCCAGGUAGGUCUGCUGUGAAAACUCGAGGCUCAACCUCGAGACGCCGGUGGAAACCAUCUAGCUAGAGUCCGGAAGAGGAGAGUGGAAUUCCUGGUGUAGCGGUGAAAUGCGCAGAUAUCAGGAAGAACACCCGUGGCAAAGGCGGCUCUCUGGGACGUGACUGACGCUGAGACGCGAAAGCGUGGGGAGCGAACAGG